rnacentral:rRNA from 1 species
AUUGAACGCUGGCGGCAUGCUUUACACAUGCAAGUCGAACGGCAGCACGGACUUCGGUCUGGUGGCGAGUGGCGAACGGGUGAGUAAUACAUCGGAACGUGCCCAGUUGUGGGGGAUAACUACUCGAAAGAGUAGCUAAUACCGCAUGAGAACUGAGGUUGAAAGCAGGGGAUCGUAAGACCUUGGGCAACUGGAGCGGCCGAUGGCAGAUUAGGUAGUGGGUGGGAUAAAAGCUUACCAAGCCGACGAUCUGUAGCUGGUCUGAGAGGACGACCAGCCACACUGGGACUGAGACACGGCCCAGACUCCUACGGGAGGCAGCAGUGGGGAAUUUUGGACAAUGGGCGAAAGCCUGAUCCAGCAAUGCCGCGUGCAGGAUGAAGGCCUUCGGGUUGUAAACUGCUUUUGUACGGAACGAAAAGCUUCGGGCUAAUACCCUGGAGUCAUGACGGUACCGUAAGAAUAAGCACCGGCUAACUACGUGCCAGCAGCCGCAGUAACAC